AGUACCAUGUACGCUAGUCUCUCACAUCUAGAAGAAAGUAACCCCUUCAACACUUAUUUCUCUCACCCUCGUUCCCCAUAUUUCAUCCUCGUUAUUUGAUCUAUACUCUCUUGGAGUCUAAACGAGUACUGUUUUCCACACCACAUUAAGCCAUUGGGCUCUCUUGCUCCUCUUUCUUACGUUAUUUGUCUUCAGUGUUGUCCCUCCCUUGGAUUCCACCUUGACUGGAUUUGUCUCAUCUGUAGGAGCAAAUAACACUGGUUAGAUCUAUGUGUCGUCAUUGGCACAAUUGCCAAUCUUUCAGGUGGGUAACUGACAGACCACUUACCGCCUGCCUCUUCUGGCGUGACAUUGGCGACAAUUUGGUAAAUAGUAUUGACUGCUACAGAUCAUUCCCUGUAAACAGUUGUACUGUUUGCCUUCUUACCCAUAUGAACAUCGUCGAUCAAAUAAUACUUAGCAUAAUUGUGAAUGUUAUAAAUUUAUAAUCCCCCAAAGUGCUCUACUUCUCUCAAAUAUGUAUUCACGUUAGAUGAAAAUCAGUUUUUAACAUGUAAAUUGUUGUUCACCUUGUUCCUGCAAAAACAAAUGAUGUUUGAUGACAGUUAUGGUCAUUUUUGUUUAUUUACUAUCUGAUCGUACCAUUUUAUAGUACAAGCUAACAUCAGUAUAAAAGUAUCUUCGUUUACCAGAGUUUCAGCACACUGGUGUCCGUUGUCUGAUUAUAUUGCUUUCAUGAUGUUUCUGAGAUUCUUAGUGUGCGUCUAAUGCGUAUGCAACAGAUGAACAAACGGAAGUCUCAGAGUUCGGAGAAAAUCCUAACUCAAAAUGACAUAAAGGUCGGUCAACUGUUUACAGCAUCAUCACUUGAGGAAUAUGCCGAGGCAAACCUUGAUGAUGAGGACGAUGAUGAUGA